AACGAACGCUGGCGGCAUGCCUAACACAUGCAAGUCGAACGAGACCUUCGGGUCUAGUGGCGCACGGGUGCGUAACGCGUGGGAACCUGCCCUUAGGUUCGGAAUAACUCCCCGAAAGGGGUGCCAGUACCGGAUAAUGUCUUCGGACCAAAGAUUUAUCGCCUUUGGAUGGGCCCGCGUUGGAUUAGCUAGUUGGUAGGGUAAAAGCCUACCAAGGCGACGAUCCAUAGCUGGUCUGAGAGGAUGAUCAGCCACACUGGGACUGAGACACGGCCCAGACUCCUACGGGAGGCAGCAGUGGGGAAUAUUGGACAAUGGGCGAAAGCCUGAUCCAGCAAUGCCGCGUGAGUGAUGAAGGCCUUAGGGUUGUAAAGCUCUUUUACCCGGGAUGAUAAUGACAGUACCGGGAGAAUAAGCGCCGGCUAACUCCGUG
rnacentral:rRNA from 1 species